AACCAGAACUUGAAGGCACAUCUAAAGUCUUCAAACCAGCCCGAGAAUGCAGCGCCCUCAGCGUUUUGCGCUGGCGUGGCCCCUGCCGCGUCGCGACGCGUGGACAGGCGCUGGAGAAUGGCUGGAUUUCGCGAGCUCUCGUGCGGCCGCGUCGUCCUUGCAACUUUUGCAGGAAAGCCCUUCGGUUUCUAUGUAAUUCUAUCGAGGUCCCUCAACAACAGUGCUCCUGAUAUGAUAUUUUUACAUUUAGUUCCGUAGGAAAUCCAGGUAUUUCACGCGAAGAACAAAAAAACAAGAACAGGGACCGCGCUCUAAAAUGUAGAAGCCGAGGGGUUUUGUCGAAAAAACCCCGCGCAACCCACCCCCAAACCCUAGCCGCCGCUUCCAGUGUCCCCUUCUCCCUUCGUCCCUCCCUCUCCCUCUCCCGCCGCCCCCGCCACCGAGAGCCGCCGUGCACCGCCGCCUCCGCCUACCCCUCGCGCCGCCACCGCCGCCGCCGCCGAGCGCCAUCGCCGUCCCCCAUCGCGCUGCCACCUCCGCCUCCCGCCGUCCCCAUUGCCGACCGCCUCGGCCUCUGCCUCCGCCAACCCUAGCCGCCGCUGCCAGUCCCCUCCUCCCUUCGGUGAGGCGAGCAGCCAUCUCCGCCUUGGCCACCGCCGUCGCUGAGCGCCGCCGCUUCCGCCUCCGCCUCACGCCGCCGCUACCAACAGCCGCCUUCGGCUGCCGGCGUCCGGAUCUGGGCUCCAUGUGGCCGCAGGCGUACAGAUCCGCCCUCCGUUGCCGCUGCCAUCGAAGAAACGACGGUGGUGACGAAGCCGGCAUCAAUGAAGGCGGUGGCUGCGGCGAGAAGAGGAGAACCGUACAUCGCUAGGCUGAUCUGCCGACGAGCUCGGCGGCAACAUGGUCGGUCAACUGGCGCUACGGUCGAUCUGGAUGGCUCACUCACAAGGCAAGCCUGUCAUCACACUGUCCUAGAGCCGGGUCGCCCCAGUGAGGGUCUGGUGCUGCGUCCCUCCUCAUCCUCUCCCUCACGCAGCUGCAAGAUUGGAAUCACUCCGGUUAACGAGAAACGCGUCCAGCCAACCACUUCUCCUCGGUGACUAUUUUUCUCUUCCCUCCAGCCCUGGCAGCAAUAGAGCAAGCUCAUGUCACCGUAGUCGCAUGCUCUUGGGGGAGGAGAUACUAGCAGCCCGCCUAAGGAAAUCUUCAAUUCUUCAUCGCCGUCGCUUCCUCAAGUUCAAGAACUGGUGUAAUAGUUGAUAGAGCUAUACUUGCAGAAGAUAGAAAACAUGGUGGCUUCAAGAGCUCCAAGGAGUGAAUCUCCAUGGCUAAAGAAGCCCAUGCAUGGAGUUUCAGGCUCAACUGCCAUGGCUAGCACCCCAUGGAGCUCGAUGCCACCAAGCAGCCAUUCCCUGGGUAAGAGCCCCUAUUCCUACCUCCUCCAUUUUCUCUACUGCUACUACUCCUUUUCUAUUAAAAUCUAAACUAAGGUGCUUCUCGGAAAAGUACCCCUAGGUAAUGGUUUGGUUUAUGCUUGAUAUACUGAAGGAUGCUAUUGUGGUAGCAUGUAAGAAAUCACUUGAUCCCUUCUCCUGAUUUGUGCUUCCCAGAUCCCCACGAGCUCACAAGUUAGUGAACUUUAUUUCCAACUGUUGGUUCAGCUCUCCAUGAAUUGGCAGCUGUGCUUGCUAGCUCUUCCUGUCCCCUUCCUAGCAGAACAGAUGGCGGUGCUGUACGUCACCUUCUUGAGAAUGACUUACAUUAUGAAACGGAGGAAGUAGUUGGCAAGGGAGGUGGAUGUGGGGAGGGGUUGAGUUGCUCUAUGUGCUCACUGGUUGAAGCUGAUUGUUGCGCUCCUAUCUACCUCACUUAUUUACCAGGAGGUGUUAAGCUCAUUCGGUGAGAAUUUUACCUACUCCUUUCACUGCAUUUUCCUUGACCACACUUAGAUUAAAAUUAUAGCUUCCUUCCUGGUAGUAGCAAAUUGUGGCACCAAUGUGGCACAUAUUUAUUGGUUAUCUAAAUUAUUUUCUUAUAUUGUGUCUUGACUCUAUUUGGUGUUGUAAGGCAGGUUAGUGGCUGAUUAAUUAGCUGCAUUAUGCUACCCCGUUAUUACUAGCUUAAAUAAGUUGAUCUGUUCUUGAUGCAAUUUAUACAUCUAUGAGCUGGUCACUUCAUCAGCUUUACUCAGGUAGGGGUCUUUCCUACAUGAGUGGCUAUUCUCUCCAAACUAAUAAAAAUUCAUGUGAGUUUUGUUGGUAUUUUAGCACAAAAAAAAGUACUCAAAUAGCUGUUUGCCUGGAUGCUAUACCCACCAAUGAAUUUUCAAUUAUGGGAUGGUUCUUAUUUUUUUUGUACAUGUAAACAGAACCUGAACAUCAGAUUUGAUGAGAGAUUCAACCAAGAAGCUAAAAUUUUUUGCGACUGAUGUGCAUUGCUGAACCAGUUUUCUGUUGCAUAAAGAGUCCUGAAACUUCUUGUUGCAAACUGAAGUGGUGUUCUAACCAGUUUUCUUCUUGCUUUCUCAUUAGCUUCUCUUGAAUCUUUCUGUAGGUUUCUUUCCUGUAGGGAAAGGAAAGGUGAUUUCAGUUGCCUGACUGUUGCUGGAAUCUGUGAAGCAUCUACAAGCGAUGCCAUCGGUUCAGGCAGCUGGCACAGCAAUGCCGGUUCCCCUUGCCCCAUAUCCAACUCCUGUGCCAUUUACACCUCCCAAUGGGGCCCAAAGCCAGCUCGUUUGCUCUGGGUGCCGUAAUCUGCUCAUGUAUCCAGCCGGAGCAACGUCGAUUUGCUGCGCAGUCUGCAGUACCGUGACCGUGGUGCCUGCCCCCGGUAUGCACAUCAUUCACUCAGAGCAGAAAUCUAGCUGCAAUGUUCACGAAAAUAAAGAGAGAUUAAAGGGGAAUACAAAUGGCUUCAGGGCUCCGCAACAGUGCGCGUGUCGCGUUGAUGGUGUGCCUGCACUCAGGUCGCUCGAGAAGAAGUACACACUGAAGUUGCUCUGGUCAUAUUUACAUUAUUGUGUGUAACUCUUCCUUGUUUGCUUUUCAGUCUAGGAUAGAGAUUUACAUGUCAAAGAGUCAAGUGCACUUUUGAAAGUGUAAUGCGAUGCAAGUAAAAACAAUUUUGGACAAGAUCAAAAGGAUCCAUGUCAUUUGCUGUCAGAAUAGUAAUGUUUGUUACUUAAUGAGGUUUGUUACAAACCUUAAUUACAGGAAUAUCAUUGUAGUAGUUCUUAACUUUUUACACUCCUAUUUGUAGAUGUACAUAUAUUUAUGUACAAUUAUCAGAUGGACUAUUUUAUACACUACUUUCUCCCUCUCUA